UACGAAGGGGGCUAGCGUUGUUCGGAAUCACUGGGCGUAAAGCGCACGUAGGCGGAUUGCUAAGUCAGGGGUGAAAUCCUGGAGCUCAACUCCAGAACUGCCUUUGAUACUGGCGAUCUUGAGUCCGGGAGAGGUGAGUGGAACUGCGAGUGUAGAGGUGAAAUUCGUAGAUAUUCGGAAGAACACCAGUGGCGAAGGCGACUUACUGGACACAUAUUGACGCUGAGGUGCGAAAGCGUGGGGAGCAAACAGG
rnacentral:rRNA from 1 species